rnacentral:misc_RNA from 1 species
AUAUAUAUAUAUAUAUAUAAUUGACCUCUCAUUUUCUAUUGUCUAUCUGUCACUCACUGAGUUGUGGUCUCUGGUUUCCUUCUAGGCUCUUGCCAUGUCUAUUCCCAAUUCUUCCGGCAUCUCCCUUGGCCGAAGUUAAUAUUCUCCUAUCUCAUCUAUUUCUGGGUUCUUUGUUUUUCGGGGGUUCCGUUCAAUCCAACUAGGUGCUUUGCCAGCCUUUUCUUUUGGAUGAGUCCCCCUGUUCUAUACGUCUCUGAACGAUUUACACUUUCCUCUCUAGUAGCCUGUGGCCUCAUCUAAAGAGCAUAGGCAGCAGUGGCAUUGAGCCGAAGCUAUGUUUGCUAGUUCUAGGGGUUGCAGAUCUUAUAUCCAGUUUAGUUAGGUUUUCGGCCUUUCUCUUUCUGGGCUUGGGGUUGGAAUUGCAACUAGGUGACUUUUGUUAGCAGGCUUUGGGCCGAGAGUUUUAUAUAAACCUAAGCAUUAUUAAAGCUAUUUUGUGAAUAGAAAAAUUCAGAACCUGCCUCGUUGUUCGUGAUGUAUCUGAAUAAAUUAAUCAAAAUGAAAAUCUCAGAAUUGAGUAUGAUACAAGUAAUUUAGCAUAGUAUCUGAGUAAAAGAAAAUGCUAAUUAGUUUUUGGUUUACAGAAAGACCUUUUGGACAGUGGUGAAGAAGAAAUCGACAGAAAAUUACAGAGGGGUUCCAUACAUAACUACGUUACUCAGCACAAGUUUAUGGACUUUCUAUGGACUUCUGAACCCAGAUGGUUUGCUUGUGGUAACAGUGAAUGGGACUGGUGUUGUUUUCCAGUUCAUUUAUGUCACUCUAUUUCUCAUCUAUGCUCCCAAGGAUAAGAAGGUGAAGACAGCAAAAUGGGUGGCUUUAUUAGAUGUGGGUUUUCUUGGGGCAGUGAUAACAGUAACCCUUUUAGCCGUCCAUGGAAAUCUGAGGCUUACCUUUGUUGGAAUUUUAUGCGCUGCAUUAACCAUAGGCAUGUACGCAGCACCUCUAUCUGCCAUGAGAACCGUGGUAAAGACCAAGAGUGUGGAGUACAUGCCAUUCUUGCUUUCCUUCUUCCUCUUCCUCAAUGGAGGUGUUUGGUCCGUCUAUGCAGUGAUCGUCAAAGACUUCUAUAUUGGAGUGCCCAAUGCAACAGGGUUCGCGUUGGGGUCAGCCCAACUAAUUCUUUAUGCAAUGUAUAAGAACAAGUCGAAGUCAGCUAAAUCCAUAGAAGCCAUGGAAGAAGAAGGCUCAGCUCACUUGGUCAAAGGAGGCAUCGAGAUGCAGUCGCACAAUGACGAUGAAGAUGAUGAGACUGGCAUCAACAACCGAAGCCUCAAUAAGGGAAAAAGCCUACCAAAGCCAUCCGUAAAUAGACAAUAUAGCUUUAAAAAAAUCUGGAGGACACUUUCAUUGAAUGCUCAAGAUUUGCAAUCUGGUUGGCCCAAUGAGAGUGAUGUUGAGAAUAUGAAACUUGGAGACCAGCAGCCAACAGUGUAUGAAAUCCUCAGGGACUACAACUUUCCUAUGGGGCUACUUCCCAAGGGAGUUCUUGGCUAUGAUCUUGACAAAACAACAGGUAAAUUUUCUGCAUUCUUGAACGGUACUUGCAGCUUUUCUCUUGAAAGAUCUUAUCGGCUUAGAUACAAGUCAACCAUCCAAGGGUUCAUAUCCAGAGGGAGGCUUUCGAGCUUGGAGGGUGUUAGCGUGAAGUUGUUUUUCAUGUGGGUUGAUAUUUUUGAGGUUUCAAGAAAUGGUGAUGAUAUUGAAUUCUAUGUUGGGAUUGGUUGUGCUGGAUUUCCUAUAGAUGAUUUUGUGGAGCUUCCCCAAUGUGGGUGUGGUUUGAACUGUCCAAAACAGAGGAAAGCAAGCAAGCUCAGCUUGUCUUCUUCAUAAGGAAACUUGAAUCAAAGAUUUCAAUCAUAUGAAUUGUAAUUUAUUGGACUUCUUGAUUGUGAUUAUUGAUUGAUUGGAAUGAAUAGAAUUGGGUUGUGUUUAUUGUCAUAGCUCAUAAAUUGUUGACGCUUUUCCAUUCCAGUGAACUUGAAUGGUUUCUUUUUUAUGGGAUUUCAUAAAGUUACUU